rnacentral:rRNA from 1 species
UACGUAGGGUGCGAGCGUUUAAUCGGAAUUACUGGGCGUAAAGCGUGCGCAGGCGGUUUUGUAAGCCAGAUGUGAAAUCCCCGGGCUUAACCUGGGAAUGGCAUUUGGGACUGCAAGGCUUGAGUGCGGCAGAGGAGACUGGAAUUCCUGGUGUAGCAGUGAAAUGCGUAGAUAUCAGGAGGAAUACCGAUGGCGAAGGCAAGUCUCUGGGCUGACACUGACGCUCAUGCACGAAAGCGUGGGGAGCAAAC